UGAAUUUUUUUCCGAGUUAGUUGUGUACUAGAGGAAUGCCGCAACUCAGUUUGUUUCUUUUUAUAGGUUGGGCUAAAAGGAGAAGCUAUGAAUCUCGGUUCCCCAACUUCCACCUCUAUCUGCAGUGAAUUGGAGGAGGGUGUUUAUAGGGACACAAAAUCAACAGCCACUGACUUGGUAUAAGCUGGAGACUACAUCACCGCCUUGAGUUUGCUGGAUUUCAAUACCUUGGUAGACCAGUGAGUCCAGUGAGUUGACUCCCCCUCUCCCUCCUCCUCCAGUCCUCCCUUCCCAACCAAAAAGGUCUGCUACAGGAAUUUCUGAACACAGCAAUACUGGGUGUUAAACUAUCUUUGUUUCUUGGAAAAUAGAACACUGGGUUUCUUAUGCCUAAGGUGUUUGUUGAAAUGCGUAGCUGAAAUUUCCUGUCAGACUUCUUUAACAUCUUAUAUCCCAUUUUGGUAACUGGUAUAAUUUUAAGCCCAAGUUGUUCAUGUUUUGUCUCUUGGAUCUUCUUUAAACAGCAGCCUACAGUUUACUAAUUUCCAGUUUCCAGGUCAUCAGUUGCAUAUUUUUACUUCUACUUAUGGAUGUAGGUUAUGGAGAGCACCUGUGGAUUCCACUUACUCCUAGAAUGGUAGACAUGCUCAGUGAAUAAGCUAAAGUAAACAAAGCAGGCCCUGAGCCUUUGUUCUCUGUUAAUUAUAUGCAGCAUCUCAGCAAGGAAAAUUUCUGUUCUAGGACACUAUAGGAUGCCGGAAAGGGAUCACUAUCACAUUUGCUUUAGUUAUAGGCAUGGUUAAUGUGCAAUGGACACGUUUUAUGGACAAGUCUAUAUUUUUUGGGUUUUAUGUAUUUAUAGGCACCUAGGCAGUGUUAAUUCCUUGUAAAUGUUGGGAUGAAUAUUGC